CCACAGUCCUCUCACCUGCCGAUAGUCAAUGGCUUGAUGUAGCGAGCCUUUCCCCCUUUGUUAUUCUCAAUUUCGUUGGUUC
rnacentral:ribozyme from 1 species